rnacentral:lncRNA from 1 species
AACUACUUUCAUCCACCACAUUCACUAUGUGCUACUUCUGUUCCUAGAAGUACCACCUAUAUAUACGCACUACACUCUGUGUUGUUUCUAUCCUUGAGACAUACACUUAUGCUGCUCCUACCCUAGGAGUACGCAUUCCUCUAUUCAUCACCCACACACAUUCCACAUCCACUUAGAAAAUGUUCUACUCCUACACUAGGAGAAGACACCCAAAAAUAUUCAAUGUCUUAUUCUACUUAUCCAAUAAAGCUCCAGUUAUCCCAGUUGAUACUCCCUACUGUUAUCAUUGCAUUAAAAGGGAUGGC